GACGAACGCUGGCGGCGUGCUUAACACAUGCAAGUCGAACGGAAAGGCCCUGCUUUUGUGGGGUGCUCGAGUGGCGCACGGGUGAGUAACACGCGUGUAACCUGCCCUUGUCUUUGGGAUAACUUCAGGAAACUGGGGCUCAUAUCGGAUAGGAGCUUCUGCUGCACGGUGGGGGUUGGUAAGUUUCGGCGGUUGGGUCUGGACUCGCGGCUUAUCAGCUUGAUGGUGAGGUUGUGGCUUACAAAGGCUUUGACGGGUAGCCGGCCUGAGAGGGUGACCGGCCACAGUGGGACUGGGAUGGGGGCCAGACUCCUACGGGAGGCAGCAGUGGGGAAUAUUGCACAAUGGGCGGAGGCCGGAUGGAGGAACGCCGGGUGCGGGAAGACGGCCUUCGGGUUGUAAACCGCUUUCGCGUGUGACGAAGCGUGAGUGACGGAAAUGGGUAAAGAAGCACCGGCUAACUGCGG
rnacentral:rRNA from 1 species